AGAGUUUGAUCAUGGCUCAGGAUGAACGCUGGCGGUAUGCCUUACACAUGCAAGUCGUACGAGAGUUUUUAACUCAAGUGGCGGACGGGUGAGUAACACGUAAGAAUUUGCCUUUAGGAGGGGGAUAACAACUGGAAACGGUUGCUAAUACCCCAUAUGCUUUAGAGUGAAACGGAUUUUCCGCCUAAAGAGAAGCUUGCGGCUGAUUAGCUUGUUGGUGAGGUAAUGGCUCACCAAGGCGACGAUCAGUAUCUGGUUUGAGAGGACGACCAGACACACUGGAACUGAGACACGGUCCAGACUCCUACGGGAGGCAGC
rnacentral:rRNA from 1 species